UACGUAGGAGGCGAGCGUUGUCCGGAGUUACUGGGCGUAAAGCGUACGCAGGCGGUCCAAUUAGUCUGUAGGGACAGGGCACAGCUUAACUGUGUCAGGCUUAUGGAAACUGUUGGACUUGAGGGCUUCAGAGGGAUGGGGAAUUCCGGGUGGAGUGGUGAAAUGCGUAGAGAUCCGGAAGAACACCAAAGGCGUAGGCACCAUCCUGGGGAGUCACUGACGCUCAUGUACGAAAGCUAGGGGAGCGAACGGG
rnacentral:rRNA from 1 species